GAUGAACGCUGGCGGCGUGCCUAAUACAUGCAAGUCGAGCGAACAGACGAGGAGCUUUCUCCUCUGACGUUAGCGGCGGACGGGUGUGUAACACGUGGAUAACCUACCUUUAAGACUGGGAUAACUUCGGGAAACCGGUGCUAAUACCCGAUAAUAUAUUGAACCGCAUGGUUCAAUAGUUAAAGACGGUUUUGCUGUCACUUAUAGAUGGAUCCGCGCCGCAUUAGCUAGUUGGUAAGGUAACGGCUGACCAAGGCAACGAUGCGUAGCCGACCUGAGAGGGUGAUCGGCCACACUGGAACUGAGACACGGUCCAGACUCCUACGGGAGGCAGCAGUAGGGAAUCUUCCGCAAUGGGCGAAAGCCUGACGGAGCAACGCCGCGUGAGUGAUGAAGGUCUUCGGAUCGUAAAACUCUGUUAUUAGGGAAGAACAAAUGUGUAAGUAACUAUGCACGUCUUGACGGUACCCAAUCAGAAAGCCACGGCUAACUACGUG
rnacentral:rRNA from 1 species